rnacentral:tRNA from 1 species
GACACUAUGGCCGAGCGGUUAAGGCGACAGAUUCGAAAUCUGUUUCCCUCUGGGAGCGCAUGUUCAAAUCAUGCUGGUGUCG